rnacentral:rRNA from 1 species
AAUAGAUACCCAGGUAGUCCACGCCGUAAACGAUGAGUGCUAAGUGUUAGGGGGUUUCCGCCCCUUAGUGCUGCAGCUAACGCAUUAAGCACUCCGCCUGGGGAGUACGGUCGCAAGACUGAAACUCAAAGGAAUUGACGGGGGCCCGCACAAGCGGUGGAGCAUGUGGUUUAAUUCGAAGCAACGCGAAGAACCUUACCAGGUCUUGACAUCCCAUUGACCACUAUGGAGACAUAGUUUUCCCUUCGGGGACAACGGUGACAGGUGGUGCAUGGUUGUCGUCAGCUCGUGUCGUGAGAUGUUGGGUUAAGUCCCGCAACGAGCGCAACCCUUGUUCUUAGUUGCCAUCAUUUAGUUGGGCACUCUAAGGAGACUGCCGGUGACAAACCGGAGGAAGGUGGGGAUAACGGUCAAAUCAUCAUGCCCCUUAUGACCUGGGCUACACACGUGCUACAAUGGACGGUACAAACGGUUGCCAACCCGGCAGGGGGGAGCUAAAUCCGAUAAAACCGGUUCUCAGUUCGGAUUGUAGGCUGCAACUCGCCUACAUGAAGGCCGG